GAAGCACAUUUCUUGUGUGACCGCGUACUUUUUGUAGAACGGGCCAACGAGUUACGUUAAGUAGCAAGGUUAAGCACUUAAGGUGCGGAGCCGUAGCGAAAGCGAGUUUUAACUGAGCGUUCAGUUACUUGACGUAGACCCGAAACCGGGCGACCUACCCAUGAGCAGGAUGAAGCGAAAGUAAAAUUUCGUGGAGGUCCGAACCCACGAGCGUUGAAAAGCUCGGGGAUGACUUGUGGGUAGCGGUGAAAUUCC
rnacentral:rRNA from 1 species